CUCUCGAGUUUCGUUUUGAUAAACUAUUGUCGUUUAACUUUGUUUUUUCCAAAAAAAGGUACUGUGAUGGAUAAUUUGUAACGAUGGAUCUCCUGUCUCGCGCAUCGAUGACGAAUACAGCUGGCUGCAAGACAACAGCGAUAAAAAUCUAAAUUUUCCAGAGCUAAAUCCUUUGCAGACAACUUAAAUAAAGAACGGGGCAUUGUCAGGAGUAGAGUAGCCUUGUUGCUACGGACUGCUGGAAUUAAGCCCUUGUUCCACGAUUU